rnacentral:rRNA from 1 species
AUUGAACGCUGGCGGCAGGCCUAACACAUGCAAGUCGAGCGGAUGAAGGGAGCUUGCUCCUGGAUUCAGCGGCGGACGGGUGAGUAAUGCCUAGGAAUCUGCCUGGUAGUGGGGGAUAACGUCCGGAAACGGGCGCUAAUACCGCAUACGUCCUGCGGGAGCAAGUGGGGGAUCUUCGGACCUCUCGCUAUCAGAUGAGCCUAGGUCGGAUUAGCUAGCUGGUGGGGUAAAGGCCUACCAAGGCGACGAUUCGUAACUGGUCUGAUAGGAUGAUCAGUCACACUAGAACUGAGACACGGUCCAGACGCCUACGAGAGGCAGCAGUGGGGAAUAUUGGACAGUAGGCGAAAGCCUGAUCCAGCCAUGCCACGUGUGUGAAGAAAGUCUUCGGAUUGUAAAGCACUUUAAGUUGGGAGGAAGGGCAGUAAGUUAAUACCUUGCUGUAUUGACGUUACCAACAGAAUAAGCACCGGCUAACUUCGUG